CCUUAGAUCGUACCCACAUUUACUUGGAUAACUGUGGUAAUUCUAGAGCUAAUACAUGCAAACCAGAGUUCCGACCAGAGAUGGAAGGAACGCUUUUAUUAGAUCAAAACCAAUCGGUGGCUGGUUCGCCAGUCCAUCGUUUACUUUGGUGACUCUGAAUAACUUUGUGCUGAUCGCAUGGUCUCGCACCGGCGACGCAUCUUUCAAAUGUCUGCCUUAUCAACUGUCGAUGGUAGGUUCUGCGCCUACCAUGGUUGUAACGGGUAACGGGGAAUCAGGGUUCGAUUCCGGAGAGGGAGCCUGAGAAACGGCUACCACAUCCAAGGAAGGCAGCAGGCGCGCAAAUUACCCACUCCCGGCACGGGGAGGUAGUGACGAAAAAUAACGAUACGGGACUCAUCCGAGGCCCCGUAAUCGGAAUGAGUACACUUUAAAUCCUUUAACGAGGAUCCAUUGGAGGGCAAGUCUGGUGCCAGCAGCCGCGGUAAUUCCAGCUCCAAUAGCGUAUAUUAAAGUUGUUGCGGUUAAAAAGCUCGUAGUUGAAUCUGUGUGCCACGCUGUCGGUUCAUCGCUCGCGAUGUUUAACUGACAUGAUUGUGGGACGUCCUACCGGUGGGCUUAGCCUUUCGGGGCGGCCCAGCUAAUAUCCCAUCGCGGUGCUCUUUACCGAGUGUCGAGGUGGGCCGGUACGUUUACUUUGAACAAAUUAGAGUGCUCAAAGCAGGCUAUGUUCGCCUGAAUACUGUGUGCAUGGAAUAAUGGAAUAGGACCUCGGUUCUAUUUUGUUGGUUUUCGGAACCCCGAGGUAAUGAUUAAUAGGGACAGAUGGGGGCAUUCGUAUUGCGACGUUAGAGGUGAAAUUCUUGGAUCGUCGCAAGACGGACAGAAGCGAAAGCAUUUGCCAAAAAUGUUUUCAUUAAUCAAGAACGAAAGUUAGAGGUUCGAAGGCGAUCAGAUACCGCCCUAGUUCUAACCAUAAACGAUGCCAGCUAGCGAUCCGCCGAAGUUCCUCCGAUGACUCGGCGGGCAGCUUCCGGGAAACCAAAGCUUUUGGGUUCCGGGGGAAGUAUGGUUGCAAAGCUGAAACUUAAAGGAAUUGACGGAAGGGCACCACCAGGAGUGGAGCCUGCGGCUUAAUUUGACUCAACACGGG
rnacentral:rRNA from 1 species